rnacentral:rRNA from 1 species
CAGCAGCCGCGGGAAUACGAAGGGGGCUAGCGUUGUUCGGAAUUACUGGGCGUAAAGCGCACGUAGGCGGAUACUUAAGUUAGGGGUGAAAUCCCAGGGCUCAACCCUGGAACUGCCUUUAAUACUGGGUAUCUUGAGUUCGAGAGAGGUGAGUGGAAUUCCGAGUGUAGAGGUGAAAUUCGUAGAUAUUCGGAGGAACACCAGUGGCGAAGGCGGCUCACUGGCUCGAUACUGACGCUGAGGUGCGAAAGCGUGGGGAGCAAACAGGAUUAGAUACCCGGGUAGUCCCUGUCUCUUAUAC